GACGGAGGGUGCAAGCGUUGGUCGGAAUCACUGGGCGUAAAGCGCGUGUAGGCGGUUUGAUAAGUCGAAUGUGAAAGCCCGAGGCUCAACCUCGGAAGUGCAUUCGAAACUGUCAGGCUUGAGUACGGGAGAGGGAAGUGGAAUUCCUGGUGUAGAGGUGAAAUUCGUAGAUAUCAGUAGGAACACCGGUGGCGAAGGCGGCUUCCUGGACCGAUACUGACGCUGAGAGGCGAAAGCGUGGGGAGCAAACAGG
rnacentral:rRNA from 1 species